AUUGAACGCUGGCGGCAGGCCUAACACAUGCAAGUCGAAUGGUAACAGGAAACAGCUUGCUGUUUCGCUGACGAGUGGCGGACGGGUGAGUAAUGUCUGGGAAACUGCCUGAUGGAGGGGGAUAACUACUGGAAACGGUAGCUAAUACCGCAUAACGUCGCAAGACCAAAGAGGGGGACCUUCGGGCCUCUUGCCAUCAGAUGUGUCCAGAUGGGAUUAGCUAGUAGGUGGGGUAACGGCUCACCUAGGCGACGAUCCCUAGCUGGUCUGAGAGGAUGACCAGCCACACUGGAACUGAGACACGGUCCAGACUCCUACGGGAGGCAGCAGUGGGGAAUAUUGCACAAUGGGCGCAAGCCUGAUGCAGCCAUGCCGCGUGUAUGAAGAAGGCCUUCGGGUUGUAAAGUACUUUCAGCGGGGAGGAAGGGAGUAAAGUUAAUACCUUUGCUCAUUGACGUUACCCGCAGAAGAAGCACCGGCUAACUCCGUG
rnacentral:rRNA from 1 species